rnacentral:misc_RNA from 1 species
CACGUACUGUGCGAACGUUAUUCGGAAUCACUGGGCUUAAAGGGUGCGUAGGCGGCCGUCCAAGUCAGGUGUGAAAGGUUCCGGCUCAACCGGAAGAUGGCGCUUGAAACUGGACGGCUUGAGUGAGACAGGGGUGUGUGGAACUGCCAGUGGAGCGGUGAAAUGUGUUGAUAUUGGCAGGAACACCGGAGGCGAAAGCGACACACUGGGUCUCAACUGACGCUCAGGCACGAAAGCCAGGGUAGCGAACGGG